CCCCCGCGGGAAGAUGGGGAUCGACCCGGCGCACCGCGGCACGCCGCCAGCCCAACGCUCGUCGUUGUGAAUUUAUUUAUGUAAUCGUUUUACGUAAUUUAAACACGACACAAGUUUUUCGACACUAGCUCUUAAUUUAAGCGCGUUUUAAACAGGUUUCUGACGCGCGACGUGACUGUCAAAACAGAAGACAUGCGACAGUGCUGACCUCUACGUGUUGCAUGUCAUGUCAUAUUAAGUUUUUGCUGUCAUUUUGAUUUUAAAACUUAAAUAUCUCGAAAACUAGAGAAGAUAGAGAUUUGCUGUUUGCGGUUGUGAUUGUGGUAAUUGUGUGGGUCCCGGACCGCACGCCGGGAUCUCGAGGCGGGAUAGAGACGUGCGACGCGCUCGACGCUCGACACCCGCCGCCUCCGAACGCAUAAGUACGUGUCGGCACGCGCAAAGGAAGCGCCGCCACCGCUGUCGCUGCCACUGCCGCCGCCCUUGCGACCAUAACCACAGCUGGGGAUCUUUUGACACCUUUAGAUAAUACCUACAAGCUUAUUGAAUUGUUGAAUCGUCUCCUGGCCUUGACGUGGGCAUAAAGCCGCCCGAUUGGGGGGCGUGGAAAAUCCAUUUCGUUUCAACUUGAUGUUCAAAUUGAAUGUUUUGUGUAGCGUGCACUAUGGCGGCGUGCGGCGACGUUUUAAGGAUGUAGGCGCGGCGCGCGCCGUGCCCGGUUUCUGGAUCUGCACGCGCGGGGACGGCCGCCGCCGCUAACACACACACACGCUGACAAAAGUGCUCUUGAUAAGCGUGAUUUA